UAGGGAAUCUCCCACAAUGGGCGCAAGCCUGAUGGAGCAACACCGCGUGAGUGAGGAAGGGUUUCGGCUCGUAAAGCUCUGUUGUUAAAGAAGAACACGUAUGAGAGUAACUGUUCAUACGUUGACGGUAUUUAACCAGAAAGUCACGGCUAACUACGUGCCAC
rnacentral:rRNA from 1 species